UACGAAGGGGGCGAGCGUUGUUCGGAAUUACUGGGCGUAAAGGGCGCGUAGGCGGCCCCUUUUGUCGCGUGUGAAAGCCCCGGGCUCAACCUGGGAGGUGCGCGCGAAACGGGGGGGCUUGAGUUCGGGAGAGGAGCGUGGAAUUCCCAGUGUAGAGGUGAAAUUCGUAGAUAUUGGGAAGAACACCGGUGGCGAAGGCGGCGCUCUGGACCGAGACUGACGCUGAGGCGCAAAAGCGUGGGGAGCAAACAGG
rnacentral:rRNA from 1 species